rnacentral:misc_RNA from 1 species
GUCUUGCUCAACAUAUUAUGGUAUCAAAUAUGGCAUCAUUUUUUUUUCUUUUAUUUUUUUUAUUUGGAAAAGUUUGAUUUCACAAGAUACAAGUAAAUACAUGCCCACACACUUCCAUAAACACUCACAAACAUCCACAUCUGAGAUGCAUUUUGUUUUCAUAUAUCAUAUACAAGACCCUAUGUUCAUCUGAGCUAAAUUUAGAAAGAGAUAAAAUUUUCAACGUGCUGUAAUGUACUCUCAAUGUGAUGGGGAAAAUAAGUAGAAAUAAAUUGCAAUUGUGGUGCUGAUGAAUUAAAAGUAUGGCAGGAUGAAAAGACAGGCUGUUCUUUUAAGGGGGAAAUUGUAUUCUGUAAUUUAUGGGCCAGUCAUUGAAUUGGGCUCAGCUACUUGCAUGUGCACUUGUUGCAUUUUGAAAUGAGAAUGAUUUGAUGAAACUUCAAGAAUGACCUAGCUUGAUGGUAAAGAUUGAGUUGAUACUCCAAUCUUUCAACCCCUAAAUUUUUCAUUAAUAAAUAUUAGUUGAGUUUGCACAUUCAGCUGUUUGAUUCAAUUUGUUUAAACAGGUGGGAAGUUUAGAGGAUGUU